rnacentral:rRNA from 1 species
GUAGGUGGCAAGCGUUGUCCGGAAUUAUUGGGCGUAAAGCGCGCGCAGGCGGUUCUUUAAGUCUGAUGUGAAAGCCCACGGCUCAACCGUGGAGGGUCAUUGGAAACUGGAGAACUUGAGUACAGAAGAGGAAAGCGGAAUUCCACGUGUAGCGGUGAAAUGCGUAGAGAUGUGGAGGAACACCAGUGGCGAAGGCGGCUUUCUGGUCUGUAACUGACGCUGAGGCGCGAAAGCGUGGGGAGCAAACAGGGAUUAGAUACCCUGGUAGUCCACGCCGUAAACGAUGAGUGCUAAGUGUUAGGGGGUUUCCGCCCCCUUAGUGCUGCAGCUAACGCAUUGAGCACUCCGCCUGGGAGUACGGCCGCAAGGCUG